GCCUGGAUAGCUCAGUUAGCUAGAGCAUAGUGCUGAUAAUGUCAAGGUUGCAGGUCCAAUCCCUGUAUGGGGUCAGGAA
rnacentral:tRNA from 1 species